CGCAGGAAGAGGAAGAUGUUAGAGAUUACAAUUUGACUGAAGAACAGAAGGCGAUCAAGGCCAAGUAUCCGCCAGUCAAUAGGAAGUACGAGUAUUUGGAUCAUACAGCAGAUGUCCAGUGAGUAUAGCGGGAGUUCAUUCCUUUGAAACCACGUCAGUAGGAAGACUGAAUGUUUCAAUCUUGGUUACACGCAUGGGGAGAUACUCUGGAGGAAGCAUUUGAGCAAUGUGCAAUGGCCAUGUUUGGUUACAUGACAGAUACUGGGACAGUGGAGCCCCUCCAAACAGUAGAAGUAGAAACCCAAGGAGAUGACUUACAGUCUCUUCUGUUUCACUUUUUGGAUGAAUGGCUUUAUAAGUUCAGUGCUGAUGAAUUCUUCAUACCCCGGGAAGUGAAAGUACUUAGCAUUGAUCAAAGAAAUUUCAAAUUACGAUCAAUUGGGUGGGGAGAAGAAUUUUCAUUGUCCAAGCACCCUCAGGGAACAGAAGUCAAAGCAAUAACAUAUUCAGCAAUGCAGGUCUAUAAUGAAGAGAACCCGGAAGUUUUUGUGAUCAUUGACAUUUAAGACACCAAAAAAUAAAAGACUCCUACGAAGAA
rnacentral:lncRNA from 1 species